GGGUGGCAGCAGUGGGGAAUAUUGGACAAUGGGGGCAACCCUGAUCCAGCCAUGCCGCGUGAGUGAUGAAGGCCUUAGGGUUGUAAAGCUCUUUCACCGGUGAAGAUAAUGACGGUAACCGGAGAAGAAGCCCCGGCUAACUUCGUGCCAGCAGCCGCGGUAAUACGAAGGGGGCUAGCGUUGUUCGGAUUUACUGGGCGUAAAGCGCACGUAGGCGGAUAUUUAAGUCAGAGGUGAAAUCCCAGGGCUCAACCCUGGAACUGCCUUUGAUACUGGGUAUCUUGAGUAUGGAAGAGGUGAGUGGAAUUCCGAGUGUAGAGGUGAAAUUCGUAGAUAUUCGGAGGAACACCAGUGGCGAAGGCGGCUCACUGGUCCAUUACUGACGCUGAGGUGCGAAAGCGUGGGGAGCAAACAGGAUUAGAUACCCCAG
rnacentral:rRNA from 1 species